AACGAACGCUGGCGGCAUGCCUAACACAUGCAAGUCGAACGAGACCUUCGGGUCUUGUGGCGCACGGGUGCGUAACGCGUGGGAACCUGCCCUUAGGUUCGGAAUAACUCCCCGAAAGGGGUCCUCAUACCGCAUAAUGUCUUCGGACCAAAGAUUUCUCGCCUUUGGAUGGGCCCGCGUUGGAUUAGCUAGUUGGUAGGGUAAAAGCCUACCAAGGCGACGAUCCAUAGCUGGUCUGAGAGGAUGAUCAGCCACACUGGGACUGAGACACGGCCCAGACUCCUACGGGAGGCAGCAGUGGGGAAUAUUGGACAAUGGGCGAAAGCCUGAUCCAGCAAUGCCGCGUGAGUGAUGAAGGCCUUAGGGUUGUAAAGCUCUUUUACCCGGGAUGAUAAUGACAGUACCGGGAGAAUAAGCACCGGCUAACUCCGUG
rnacentral:rRNA from 1 species